GGGCUUGGAAGCUAAGCAAAGUAUGCCUUGGCUCAUGGGAGACUAUCAGAGAAUUCCAGGACUGUAGGUUAGAUUGGGAAGUUGAACAAAAAGAUCCCAGAAGAAGGUAGUGGCAAACCGCUUCCAUAUUGUUGCUAAGAAAAGUGCAUGGAUGGGAUUUGGGGAUGUCUUUACUUUUAAGACCAGUUGGCACCUCCCAAAACUGGAACCAUGGAGAGGUUGUGGAGAAUUCCUAAAGUACAGGGGAUGUGCUAGAAGAAUGGAGAAGAGCUAUAUGUUGUUCCAGUCUUCAAAAAAGGAAAAAAGCUCCAAGAAACUACUGGUCAGCUUGACAUCAAUACAAGGGAAAAUCCUUUUAAAGACUAUUAAGUAAUGGAUUUGUAAAUACCAAGAAAGGAACAAGGAACAAACACUCUGCUGUUGGCAACUGCUGAAGAAAAAGAGUGUGGGAGCAUUCAGAAUGGGAAGCAAAUGCAGUGACCAAAACCCUUCUUGGCACUGAAGGACCAUCAUGAUUGUGAUUGGAUUGUGGAAGCGUUUGACUCUUGCUGGUCUAACUUUAGAAGAAAUAAAGAUGGGCCAAGAAGCAGCAACCCAGCAGCAAAAACAAGUGACAUUUAAUUGUGCAUGUGUGGGUGACAGUAUUCCAAGCUGUCAUGCUACAAGCUACAAGAUCUUUUCCAUCCUCAAGGCUUCCUUAUAGUUAAUGCCAUGGGAACUUUAUACUUACCGAGCCGUAUAAGUGUCCAUUGGCAUCCAUAGCCAAGUAUCGUCCAGAUUCAGUGCUCUUUAUAUACACCUCACCCACAUUUUCUGUGCUGAGCAGUAAUUGAACUACAGUUUGAAAGGAAAAAUAGGAAAGAUUAUGAGCUACAGUUAAUAUAUACUAUUGUUAAAGCUGAGCAGUGAUGGCUUAGUAAAUUGCCAGGAUUGGUAAUAAAUUGGUGUUAUCCCACGUA